UGGGAGGAAAGCAGGGGAUCGUAAGACCUUGCGCUUUUGGAGCGGCCGAUGUCUGAUUAGCUAGUUGGUGGGGUAAUGGCCUACCAAAGCUUCGAUCAGUAGCUGGUCUGAGAGGACGGCCAGCCACACUGGGACUGAGACACGGCCCAGACUCCUACGGGAGGCAGCAGUGGGGAAUUUUGGACAAUGGGCGCAAGCCUGAUCCAGCCAUGCCGCGUGAGUGAAGAAGGCCUUCGGGUUGUAAAGCUCUUUCAGCCGGGAAGAAAAGGCUGCGAUUAAUAAUCGCAGUUCAUGACGGUACCGGAAGAAGAAGCACCGGCUAACUACGUGCCAGCAGCCGCGGUAAUACGUAGGGUGCGAGCGUUAAUCGGAAUUACUGGGCGUAAAGGGAGCGCAGGCGGUUUUGUAAGUCAGAUGUGA
rnacentral:rRNA from 1 species